CUCAAAGAUUAAGCCAUGCAUGUGUAGUGGAAAGGAUAAAGUGGAAACUGCGUACAGCUCAUUACAACAGAGAUAAUUUAUAACGUUAGUACUUUUUAUACGGAUAUGAACGGUAAUUCUGAAACCAAUACGUGAUCGAUGGGUUUGCUUCGGCAUUCCUUGGGAGCUCAGUUCAAAUCUUUUCAACACACUGAACUAUGAGCUAAUACCGUUAUCGUAUGCCCUUGUGGUGAUGAAAAACGUUUGUAAAUCUCUGCCCUAUUAACCUCAUGGGAAUGUAGUGUACUCCCAAGGUUGUUAUGGGUAACGGAGUAUUAGGGUUCGACUCCGGAGAAGGCGCCUGAGAAAUGGCGACUAGUUCCACGGAAUGCAGCAGGCGCGAAACUUACCCAAUAUCAGUUCGAUGAGGUAGUGAAGAAACAUAGCGAGACUGACCUCUCUGAGGGCGGUCAUUGCAAUGGUUUUAAUCCAAACUCUUUUUAGAGUAACAACGAGUGGGCAAGUCUGGUGCCAGCAGCCGCGGUAAUUCCAGCACUCGUAAUGUAUAGAUAUAUUGUUGCGAUUAAAAAGCUCGUAGUUGGAUUGUCACAUGGGCGUCUGGUUUCGGGCUUCGGUUCGUUACUUGGCCUGUGUUCUGUGUCGGGGGCUCGGGCUUCGGUUCGCAGUUCUUGAUACUGGAUUACUUUGAAUGUCUUAGGUGCUCAAUGCGAGGCUUAAGCUUGAAUUGCAUUACAUGGAAUAAUGGAACAAGGUUUCGACUGAGUUUCUUGGUCUAUUGGUUGAAGCAAUGAUUAGUAGGAUCAUUCGGGGGUGAACGUAUCGCUGCUCGAGGAGUGAAAUCUGUGGACAGUGGCGAGACGACCGAAAGCGAAGGCAUUCACCAAGGAUGUUUUCAUUAAUCAAGAGCGAAAGUCAGAGGUUCGGAGGCGAUUAGAUACCGCCCUAGUUCUGACCGUAAACGAUACCAACUAUCGAUCUGCGUGUGGAUUCUAUUCACUGCGUGGGGUGGCUCCCGGAAACGAAAGUGUUUCGGUUCCGGGGGUAGUAUGGUUGCAAAGCUGAAACUUAAAGGAAUUGACGGAAGGGCACCACCAGGAGUGGAGCUUGCGGCUUAAUUUGACUCAACACGGGAAAUCUCACCUGGGUAGUAUAUUAUUUGGAUUGACAGACUGUUGGUGCUUUCAUGAUUUGGUUAACGGUGGUGCAUGGCCGUUCUUAGUUCGUGGAUUGAUUUGUCUGCUUAAUUGCGAUAACGAACGAGACUCUGACAGUUAAAUGUAGGGGCGGUUUGACUUGUCAGGCGUUAAUGAACUUAGCUGGAUUGAUUAUGUUUAAUGAUAUGAAAGUGAGCAAUAACAGGUCUGUUAUGCCCUGAGAUGGUCGGGGCCGCACGCGUGCUGCAAUGUUAGUCGCAAUGAGAUUGUCCUUCUCCGUUAGGAGUUGGCAAACCGUGUAGAUGUUAUUAUGGUCGGAAUCGAGGAUUGUAAUUUUUCUCGUGAACAAGGAAUUCCUUGUAAUUGAUUGUCACUACCAAUCAAUGAAUAUGUCCCUGCCCUCUGUACACACCGCCCGUCGCUGCCCGAGACUGAGUUAUUUCGAGAAGACUAUGGACGAUGAAGCUUUUUCGCCUUCGGGUGUUGGGUUUCGUUGAAAGUGGUUUAAUCGCGAUGGCUUGAAUCGGGCAAAAGUCGUAACAAGGUAGC
rnacentral:rRNA from 1 species